rnacentral:rRNA from 1 species
CUACGGGUCGCUCCAGUGGGGAAUAUUGCACAAUGGGCGCAAGCCUGAUGCAGCCAUGCCGCGUGUAUGAAGAAGGCCUUCGGGUUGUAAAGUACUUUCAGCGGGGAGGAAGGGAGUAAAGUUAAUACCUUUGCUCAUUGACGUUACCCGCAGAAGAAGCACCGGCUAACUCCGUGCCAGCAGCCGCGGUAAUACGGAGGGGUGCAAGCGUUAAUCGGAAUUACUGGGCGUAAAGCGCACGCAGGCGGUUUGUUAAGUCAGAUGUGAAAUCCCCGGGCUCAACCUGGGAACCGCAUCUGAUACUGGCAAGCUUGAGUCUCGUAGAGGGGGGUAGAAUUCCAGGUGUAGCGGUGAAAUGCGUAGAGAUCUGGAGGAAUACCGGUGGCGAAGGCGGCCCCCUGGACGAAGACUGACGCUCAGGUGCGAAAGCGUGGGGAGCAAACAGGAUUAGAUACCCGAGUAGUC